rnacentral:rRNA from 1 species
UACGGAGGGUGCAAGCGUUAUCCGGAUUCACUGGGUUUAAAGGGUGCGUAGGUGGGCAGGUAAGCCAGUGGUGAAAUCUCCGGGCUUAACCCGGAAACUGCCAUUGAUACUAUUUGUCUUGAAUACUGUGGAGGUCAGCGGAAUAUGUCAUGUAGCGGUGAAAUGCUUAGAUAUGACAUAGAACACCAAUUGCGAAGGCAGCUGGCUACACAAAUAUUGACACUGAGGCACGAAAGCGUGGGGAUCAAACAGG